rnacentral:rRNA from 1 species
UACGUAGGGGGCAAGCGUUGUCCGGAAUCAUUGGGCGUAAAGCGCGUGUAGGCGGCCCAGUAAGUCCGCUCUGAAAGCCCGAGGCUCAACCUCGGGAGGCGGGUGGAUACUGCUGGGCUCGAGUACGGAAGAGGCGAGUGGAAUUCCCGGUGUAGCGGUGAAAUGCGCAGAUAUCGGGAGGAACACCAAUGGCGAAGGCAGCUCGCUGGGACGUUACUGACGCUGAGACGCGAAAGCGUGGGAGCAACAGG